AUUGAACGCUGGCGGCAGGCCUAACACAUGCAAGUCGAACGAGUGGCGGACGGGUGAGUAAUGUCUGGGAAACUGCCUGAUGGAGGGGGAUAACUACUGGAAACGGUAGCUAAUACCGCAUACCAUCAGAUGUGCCCCUAUGGGAUUAGCUUGUUGGUGGGGUAACGGCGCACCAAGGCGACGAUCCCGAGCUGGUCUGAGAGGAUGACGAGCCACACGGGAACUGAGAAACGGUCCAGAAUCAUACGGGAGGCAGCAGUGGGGAAUAUUGCACAAUGGGCGCAAGACUGAGACAGCCAUGCCGCGUGUAUGAAGAAGGCCUGAGGGUUGUAAAGUAAUUUCAGCGGGGAGGCGUUACCCACAGAAGAAGCACCGGCUAACUCCGUGCCAGCAGCCGCGGUAAUUC
rnacentral:rRNA from 1 species